rnacentral:tRNA from 2 species
GCCUUCAUAGCUCAGUGGCACGAGCGCGCCCUUGGUAUGGGCGAGGCCCCGGGUUCGACUCCCGGUGAAGGCUCCA